rnacentral:rRNA from 1 species
CAAUAGCGUAUAUUAAAGUUGUUGCAGUUAAAAAGCUCGUAGUUGGAUUUCUGGUGAGUUCGUUUGGCCGGCCGUAAAGGUCUGUGCCGAAAUGUUAUUCGCCAUCCUUGGUGUAAUCUUGUCCGCCAUUAAGUUGUGUGGGCUUGAGGAUGCCAUCGUUUACUGAAAAAAUUAGAGUGUUCAAAGCAGGCUUAUGCCGUUGAAUACAUUAGCAUGGAAUAAUAAGAUAGGACCCUGGUACUAUUUUGUUGGUUUGCGUACCUAGGUAAUGAUUAAUAGGGACAGUUGGGGGUAUUUGUAUUCCGUUGUCAGAGGUGAAAUUCUUGGAUUUACGGAAGACAAACUACUGCGAAAGCAUUUACCAAGGAUGUUUUCAUUA